GUCUUGGGAUAUUUGGGGUUAAGUGUCCUUAGGUUUGAAUAGUACUGGGCUGGGUGACCUCCCGGGAAGUCCAAAUUCUCAGGAGC
rnacentral:rRNA from 1 species